rnacentral:rRNA from 1 species
GACGAACGCUGGCGGCGUGCUUAACACAUGCAAGUCGAACGGAAAGGCCCUGCUUUUGUGGGGUGCUCGAGUGGCGAACGGGUGAGUAGCACGUGAGUAACCUGCCCUUGACUUUGGGAUAACUUCAGGAAACUGGGGCUAAUACCGGAUAGGAGCUCCUGCUGCAUGGUGGGGGUUGGAAAGUUUCGGCGGUUGGGGAUGGACUCGCGGCUUAUCAGCUUGUUGGUGGGGUAGUGGCUUACCAAGGCUUUGACGGGUAGCCGGCCUGAGAGGGUGACCGGCCACAUUGGGACUGAGAUACGGCCCAGACUCCUACGGGAGGCAGCAGUGGGGAAUAUGGCACAAUGGGCGGAAGCCUGAUGCAGCAACGCCGCGUGCGGGAUGACGGCCUUCGGGUUGUAAACCGCUUUCGCCUGUGACGAAGCGUGAGUGACGGUAAUGGGUAAAGAAGCACCGGCUAACUACGUG